CAUCUCACUCACUUUCUCUUUCUGUCUAUAUAUAGAGAAAGACACAAUUUUCAAGACUGUAAAGCGUUGAAAUCUCUUACAAAUCCUACCCCAACAUCUAUCUCCUCAUUUUCAAUCACAAAAAAAGAAAAAGAAAAGAAAAGAAAAACCAUCCAUUUAAUUUAACUUACCAAAAGAAAAACAAUAUUUUAAAAAAAUGGCGUUGAAAUCUGGAGCCAGUAUCGUCCUCUCCGUUUGUCACUCUGAUGAACAGUUGAGAGAGAGAGAGAUAGAGGAUGAUGGUGUGUGUGGUGGAGCCUUUAGAUGGUCGAGCUGUGAUAACAUGGCAGCACUUCUUACGGGCA
rnacentral:lncRNA from 1 species